ACGUAGGUGUCGAGCGUUGUUCGGAUUCAUUGGGCGUAAAGGGUCCGUAGGGGGUUGGUUAAGUCUGAUGUGAAAUCCCGGAGCUCAACUCCGGAACUGCAUUGGAAACUGACUGACUAGAGCAUCGGAGAGGAGAUUGGAAUUCCAGGUGUAGCGAUAAAAUGCGUAGAUAUCUGGAAGAACACCGAAAGCGAAGGCAGAUCUCUGGACGAUUGCUGACCCUCAGGGACGAAAGCGUGGGGAGCAAACAG
rnacentral:rRNA from 1 species